rnacentral:rRNA from 1 species
GAUGAACGCUGGCGGCGUGCCUAAUACAUGCAAGUCGAGCGAACGGACGAGAAGCUUGCUUCUCUGAUGUUAGCGGCGGACGGGUGAGUAACACGUGGAUAACCUACCUAUAAGACUGGGAUAACUUCGGGAAACCGGAGCUAAUACCGGAUAAUAUUUUGAACCGCAUGGUUCAAAAGUGAAAGACGGUCUUGCUGUCACUUAUAGAUGGAUCCGCGCUGCAUUAGCUAGUUGGUAAGGUAACGGCUUACCAAGGCAACGAUGCAUAGCCGACCUGAGAGGGUGAUCGGCCACACGGGAACUGAGACACGGUCCAGGCUCCUACGGGAGGCAGCAGUAGGGAAUCUUCCGCAAUGGGCGAAAGCCUGACGGAGCAACGCCGCGUGAGUGAUGAAGGUCUUCGGAUCGUAAAACUCUGUUAUUAGGGAAGAACAUAUGUGUAAGUAACUGUGCACAUCUUGACGGUACCUAAUCAGAAAGCCACGGCUAACUACGUG